GAGGCAAGAGUCUGGCCUCUCUCUGAAGCAUUCAGUUAAGCCUGGCACAAAGGGCUUGCAGCAGUCAGCUCGGCAACAGCCCAGGGACACAUCGGCUUUCUCUCUUCCUCUGAACUGGCAACUCCAGAGAGGGAGGAGAUGGGGAGCCACAGCUCUAACCAGCCAGACAGAGAUAGAAUUCAGACCGUCCUGAAGAAAAGAACCUGCUCUCCACUUUCCAACAUGGUGACAUGGACAGAAGACCAGGCCAUUCUAGCCUAAGCUUCUGAGAAGGCCUCCAGAGAAGGGUGAGACAGCAGGAAAGUUUGAAAAGGAAGAAAUUCGGGCUGGGAGGAUACAAAGCAGGGCCAAGACACCUGGCUGGCUGGCUGGCUCAUCUUUGGAGAGAUUUCAUCUGUUCAACCAUUUGGAAUUUUCACCUCUUCAAAAAGUGGCCCGAGUUUGAUGUGACUGUAAUAGAACAUAAGCUCUCAAGUUUCAACUUGCAAAGUCAGAGUGCC